AGAGUUUGAUCCUGGCUCAGAUUGAACGCUGGCGGCAUGCUUUACACAUGCAAGUCGAACGGCAGCACGGGUGCUUGCACCUGGUGGCGAGUGGCGAACGGGUGAGUAAUACAUCGGAACGUGUCCGUUUGUGGGGGACAACUAGCCGAAAGGUUAGCUAAUACCGCAUAAGACCUGAGGGUGAAAGAGGGGGAAUCGCAAGAUCCUCUCGCAGACGGAGCGGCCGAUGACUGAUUAGCUGGUUGGCGGGGUAAAGGCCCACCAAGGCGACGAUCAGUCGCUGGUCUGAGAGGACGACCAGCCACACUGGAACUGAGACACGGUCCAGACUCCUACGGGAGGCAGCAGUGGGGAAUUUUGGACAAUGGGGGCAACCCUGAUCCAGCAAUGCCGCGUGCAGGAAGAAGGUCUUCGGAUUGUAAACUGCUUUUGUCAGGGACGAAAAGGACAGCGUAAACAACGUUGCCCGCUGACGGUACCUGAAGAAUAAGCACCGGCUAACUACGUGCCAGCAGCCGCGGUAAUACGUAGGGUGCAAGCGUUAAUCGGAAUGACUGGGCGUAAAGCGUGCGCAGGCGGUUGGAUAAGACAGAUGUGAAAGCCCCGGGCUCAACUUGGGAACUGCAUUUGUGACUGUCCGGCUCGAGUGCACCAGAGGGGGGUGGAAUUCCAGGUGUAGCAGUGAAAUGCGUAGAUAUCUGGAAGAACACCGAUGGCGAAGGCAGCCCCCUGGGGUGUAACUGACGCUCAUGCACGAAAGCGUGGGGAGCAAACAGGAUUAGAUACCCUGGUAGUCCACGCCCUAAACGAUGUCAACUGGUUGUUGGGGGCUAACCCCCUCAGUAACGAAGCCAACGCGUGAAGUUGACCGCCUGGGGAGUACGGUCGCAAGAUUAAAACUCAAAGGAAUUGACGGGGACCCGCACAAGCGGUGGAUGAUGUGGAUUAAUUCGAUGCAACGCGAAAAACCUUACCUAGCCUUGACAUGUCAGGAAUGCUCCGGAGAUGGAGCAGUGCCCGCAUGGGAACCUGAGCACAGGUGCUGCAUGGCUGUCGUCAGCUCGUGUUGUGAAAUGUUGGGUUAAGUCCCGCAACGAGCGCAACCCUUAUCCUUUGUUGCCAGCGGUCCGGCCGAGAACUCAAAGGAGACUGCCAGUGAUAAACUGGAGGAAGGUGGGGAUGACGUCAAGUCAUCAUGGCCCUUACGACCAGGGCUACACACGUGCUACAAUGGCGCAUACAAAGAGAAGCGACCUCGCGAGAGCAAGCGGACCUCAUAAAGUGCGUCGUAGUCCGGAUUGGAGUCUGCAACUCGACUCCAUGAAGUCGGAAUCGCUAGUAAUCGUGGAUCAGAAUGCCACGGUGAAUACGUUCCCGGGCCUUGUACACACCGCCCGUCA
rnacentral:rRNA from 1 species